CCGUAGCCCAAGAGAUCGGGAUAACACCUGGAAACAGAUGCUAAUACCGGAUAAUAACAGAUGAUGCCUAUCAACUGUUUAAAAGAUGGUUCUGCUAUCACUCUUGGAUGGACCUGCGGUGCAUUAGCUAGUUGGUAGGGUAACGGCCUACCAAGGCGAUGAUGCAUAGCCGAGUUGAGAGACUGAUCGGCCACAUUGGGACUGAGACACGGCCCCAAACUCCUACGGGAGGCAGCAGAC
rnacentral:rRNA from 1 species